AAGAGCUCCAAAGUUUGCUGCUGACAGGGGAACUUCACAGCCUAAACUUUUAGUCUGAGAUCCCCAGGAAAUUGGGUUACCUCUGGAAAUACUUCCACACAGUGAGAAUUUAUCCUGAGAUACAAAGACAUCGUUGUGGAUGAGCAUCCUGGACCCCUCUGUGCUACUCCUCGCCCCAGCUCCAGCUCUUACAAUACACCACAGACAUUACUGUCUAACCAUACAAUGCUGCAUCCUCAAUAAGGACACGUGUGUUGACAUCUCCUGGAGUCUGGCGUGGCCAGGAGCUGAGUGCCCAGCACUGUGUGCAGAGGGGAGACCAGGCACAGUGGCCCUUGGAGGAACAGCAGGCAGAACCAGUAUCAGCACAUCAGGACCCCCGUGAGAGCACGACGUGUUUGGCAGCCACUGUCACCAUCCUCCAAAGGGACCUUAAAUAAAGCCCUCUGUUUCAAAGUGCCACUGUUUCAAUGAGCCUAGAUGGGUUUUACUGCUGCAUCAGCUGCCAACACUCUGGAGAAGAUGGAGGUUGACAAUUGGAAUGGUGAUGCCUCAAAAACAAAAUGUGGGAAGAGACUACUUGCUGGAAGAAAACACAGUUCCUUGAAACAGUGCACCUGGGACCACCUGAGCUUCUCCCAAGGACCCAGAAAGCUGGCCUUGUGACCAGCUGCAGUACAUGUAUGGUGACUUAUGGGAACAUGGUCAAUUUUCAGCAAUUGUGGCUCUGAUCCUGUGUGUCGAGAAUGGCUGUGAAGUGUAUUUUUUAAAUCUUGAAACUACUGCUAGAACACAGCAAUUGUGAAUAUUAUUUUAUCUGCCCACAGGAAAUUUACUUAACCAUCUUCCAGUAACUUCUACUUAUCUUCACCAUGUCCUGUCUGAAUUCUUUAAAAGCUGCUCCUAAGUAACACUGACUUAAAAGAAAAAACACCCUCCCUCUGCAUUUUGUAACUAUUUAAAUAGAGAAGGUGUCCUGACCUCUCUAGUGUAUAGCUUGAGGGACAACAGCAAUGGAGAUGGCCUGGCGUGACUCCUGCAGGAACUACACCUGUUCUGUACCAGAUGUUCUCUGCAGGGGAUUCUUGGAUGCUUUCUACAACACAGCCACAAAUGUACUGAGUGUCAGAGCCUUCCCAGUUCCAUGGGGCCCAUGUCUUCCCAAGGAAGCUACCUCCAGAUGGGAAUCAUAACUCCACUGGACUGUUUCACGGGGCUUUGCACGCUAGAACAACUUUCCUGAUGCCUGUGGAGUUCUUACUCCUCCUGUCUUCAUUUUUGUUUACUCUUCAUCCCCCUUCUACAUGAGUUCAAAAUACAGAACAGUUUAUCAGCUUCUGUCCUCAAAAUGCCUAGAACUGGAUGGAGCCUUGUGGAUAGGGAUGCAAUGCAGGAGCAGCAACGACCAAAAUUCUCACCAUAGUUAUGCUAAACUUCAAGAAGAGGAACAACAUAAAACGUGAGAGCAUAUGUUAAAGAUUUGCAUCACAGUGGUGUGAUGAUGCUGAAACAGACUGUUGGCUGGAAUAACCUGCCCACCUUAUGGAGCAUUACAUAAGUGCUCUCAAAAAUACAGACUUCUGUUCCUCAGAGCUCCAAGCUAAGGCCCUGGAUCUUACUGUCUGAGUGAGAUCUGACUCAGAGAGAAUGAGAUUCACUAAUGAGCACUUACAGCUGCAACCACGACUAAUGAGAGCUGCAUUUUAAACUUCAAGAUAAAAUGUUGAGAACUCUGAAAAAUCAAGCAUUGAAGACCUAAAGAUGGAUAGAGAACAUUCAAAGACAAAAGACUUUCAAUUGGACACUAAGUGAUGAGUUGCAAGAAAAAUCGCCAAAGAUGGCACGAACGAAAACACUUCUAAGGCUGACAUUUGACAGCAUAACACAAGAAGGUAAUUGCACUUGACCAUCUUGAAACCCUAUGAACACCUUGAAAGCGCAGCAACAGAAAGAAGCAAGAGGACAUGAGUGUUUGCAACUCUGUCUUGCAGUCAUGGCAAUGAGAAGGAACUAAGUGGCAUUCACAUCUCAGCAAUUUUUUGCUAUAGGGUGGAAAAUAGGCUGACAUUCAUUUGCACAAAGUCCCAGAAGAUGUAACUGGCUAAAAGAUUUCAGCCUGAAGGAAACCAUGUGCAACCUUUUGGGAGAAUAUACCAGUUGUCACACAGGAAAAAACUGCUUCUCAGAUGAUAUCACAGUCAGUCUUUAUUGCCCAUUGUUUGGAGAUAAAUAGCUGAAAGUGAUAAGUGACUUUCAGGGCUUUCCCCAGGAAAGGAAAGGAUUUCAGAAGAAAAAGCUAAGUCAUCUGCCUUUCCCUGGCUACAUUUUGUAAGCAAAUCAGACUACACUCUUAAGAUUUUUUAAAACAUUUUUAUUAAUUUUUAUUCCUCUUGACAGGUUUUUAUAGUAAAAGAACAGAGAAUAACAUAUUACAAUGCAUAUGGACUGAAGUCCUUCAACAAGCUACAUUAACACAUUUUCUUUCUUGCACCAUAGCCAUCUCUCCCUGAAGAAUGGAAGGUUCAGGAAUUAUGGCUCAUUAGAAAAAACUCAGAACCUCAGACAAAACAACCAUGAGUGUGUUUUAAGACUCUUCUUCUAAGCCUCAAAAUUCCUUACAAGUAAAGGAAUGAAUGUAAUUCCUAUUAAUGAAUAGAAAUUAUUUUUAAAAUAACUAACAAACUGUGUUGGCUCAAAACAUCCAUCUUCUGAUACAGCUCAUCAGCUAGGCAUGACAGCUGGGUUACGUGUGCAUUCCUGUUGGACUCCUCUAGGAAGGAGAAUGGAGUAGCUCUCUGAUGGGAACUGGGGCUAUGGCCAUCAGAUGUGGAACUACACCAGGACCUUCUGAUUUACUAAAACUUCAGUCCCUGGACUAAAGAAAAUUUUGCUUUUACCCCAGUAUUUUCUGACAAAGUAUCUCACUGUCUGUGGACUGUUUUCCCAAGGUCUGGGAUGAAAAGGGAGCAAAAGGACUAAUUAAAAUUUCCUUCUCUUGUUUUUGUCCUGCUUAGAAAAGCUUAAAAAAGGGAAAACUCAAUUAUAAUAGAGGCAGCCAGCUUGAAGGAUUCAAAACAGGACCUAAUGGGUCUUUUCCCAGAGAGAAGAGGACAGACUGAGAUGGUGGAAUAAGGAUCAUGUGUAACAAGAUGGCAUAAUGGGAGGCAGAACAUGAGACUAUUGCCAUAGGAACAUUCACAUUUAACUGCAGAAGGAGAGGGCUAGUACAUGAGCUUGAAAAAAAAAUGAAAUCAGUUCCCUACAGUAAAAGCUAAAUAAAACGUCAUUUACAUAAAGAACACUUAAGGAAAGAAGAAAAGCAUUAAAAGGUGAGAAAGGCAGGAGAAACUGGAAGUAAGUGGAAAGGACAGACUGCCUCUGCCCAAGAAAAUAGCUGUGGGCUGCAAUUAGCUAAAUGGUACACGGCUCUGCGCUGUGUUAGUGCUGCAGUUCUGAACCACUCCAUGGUUUACUGCUGUGUCUAAUGGCAGGAGUGCUGAAUAAUAAAAGCUGUAUGCUGGACUGCCAACAGGAAUUAAUUUCCUUUAGCUUUUGGUGCUCAAGCUAUAUUUUAACUGAAAACUGCUAGCUUUUCUUUCUGGAAUGACAGUAACAGAUAACUACGGCACCACCAUGGGUUUAUAGCAACACUUUAUGCAUGGGGAUCAAUCGUUUAGACAGGAUUUGCUCUCGUCUCCACAAUCACUCCUUGCUCCCAUGAACAGGCUCAGCAUAGGAAAGAUAAGAUAGGGGGAGGCAGUUCUUAUGCAAUGAGGCUUCUUAAGCUAAAGGCAAUGAUUAAAAAUUCCACCUCCUCUUAUGAAUAUUAUGUAGCUACAAUAAACUUGCUCCUUGCCUGCAAACAAGCCAAAAGCCCUUCCUUAAUGCCAGGGCCACAGGGAAUCUCGGUGCCUGCUCUGAACAUCUCAGUGGUUAUGGGUGCCUCACCACUCGGCAGCACUCAGGCUGCCAGAGCCCAGCAGACAGAUCGAUGGGGUUAAGUGGAUUGUCUCUGUGCUUGCCUGUGUGUACACACCCCACCCUUCCCCUGCCUCCCGCUACAGCUACUUCUCUCUGGGGACACCGUUUGCCUGCUUGUCCAAACAAGCUCCAGAGCUUGAAAUUGCCAGGGAAUGAAGAGAGAAAAGUUUUCCUGCUUAUGUGGGGCAGGGUGAAAGGAGACAUGUCCUAUGCUAAAUACAGGGAAGAGGGAGCAAUUACUGCAAUAUAAUUUUCUGCUGGAUGUGGCAGGACCAGUCUGGUGACAGAUCAUAAGGAUUUGCUGUCUUUAUAAGCAGCACACAUGUCCUAGGGAGAAAAUAUCUCACGUAAAUAUGUAUGGGCACAGGGACAAGUGUCACACAGGGCUUCCCAUCAAAGGAGAGGAAACGCAGCAUCAUUUGGAGCGCUGCUUCUUUGGAACUGCAACCACAAAGGAAUGAAUAAUAGGAUUAAUUCACUUAGCUAUUGAUCUCAGACGCACACAUUUUCAUUUAACAUUAUGAGAACAGCCAGACUCUCAUGGUUCAUAGCCUGUGGGCAGUACAGCAGGGACAGCAGGUGCAAGCCCUUUUCCCCAUUUGCUGAUGAUGUAAAUCUUAGCAGCACAUUCCUUAUGGUGAGCCGCUGGGGAAGGAUCUCCUAUGGAAAAUAACCUAAUGUCUGGACUGGUGACGCUAAUGCUGUUCUCUACAGAUGCACUCUGAGCAAAUAAUUGGUAGGGGCCUACCCAUGGAAAUUCUAUACAGAAAGCUGAAGAAAGGGAGGGAAGGAAGAAAAUAGAAUAGGCUGAUUUAAUUAGGUCUGGACAUACAUGCACACAAUUUCUCAGCUAAUCAGGGAAAAAGUUCAAAUACAGCCUCCCCAUACCACCAUAAACAUUGAAGAUCUAUGACAGUGAGAAAAGAAAGAAUAUGGUGCAGGGAGACAUUAAGACAUUUUUCAGUAGUUUCAUCACAUGGAACAUGAGGUCUGCUCAGGGUCCUGAACAACUUCUUUGCCAAAUUAAUCUGCAAAGUUAAGUUUCUCAUAACUAGCUCUUACAAAACCACCCUGCCCAUAAGCAAGUGGAUGCAAGGGCCAAAAGUAAGUGUCAAAGGUGGUAAAGACCAUGCUGGCAUGGUGGAGUCACCAGGUGACACCAGUAGAGAUGCUGACACCUUAGAUGAUCCCAAACUGGGCCAGCUCGUGCAGUUCCAGAUGGCUGAAAGCUUCCCAUGGGCAAAUCACGGUGAUAUCUGCAAAAGAGAGGAAAUGACAAAUGUGUUCUUGUCAAUGCACUCCUCAGAUUUAUUUUUUACUAAUGGAAAGGCUGAUUUAUUCAAGAAACAUUAACAAGAAUUAGAUUCCAUUUGAAAGUUAAGUGGGCAGAUGAGCAUUUCAAAUCUGGUACUACCUGUCAGACCAAACCAAAUCAAAUCUCUGUGAGAGAACAAAAGCAAGCAAGCAGUUCCUAGUCUCUUCAGUGACUAUGUAAACUGGUGUAAAAAAAUCAUUCCAGUUAUGAGGUGUUUCCUGUUCUUAUAAAUUACCUGUAGCCAAACUGUGAUCUCCUUGAAGACGUGCGCAGUUUUAGAUCAGAUGCUGAAUAAUUUGGCCUAAAAUAUUCAGGAUCUGUAAAUCUCUCUUCAUAGAUACUUCAAAGUCCUGACUGGCUACAGCUCAUCCAAUGCAUAUUUCUCAAUCCCAGAUGGGUACAUAAUAUUCUUAAAAUUAGGAUUCUGAUGACAACAAAAAUACUUAGCCAUCUGGGAUUUAGUUUCUGUGAUUUUUUGGUAUUAAUAGCUUAGCAUUUAGCAUUUCUUUGAGAAUCUCAUGCUGCUGAAAUUCUUAGCCAGAGUAUUAGCAGAAAACAAACAAGCAUUUCUGCAGCCCAAUGUAAGUAGUCUGAAACUGAAGCAUACUUAAAUGGCCCUUCCUUCACGUAGUGUAUGUAAGCAUAAGCAUGAACAUGGCAGCCUGGGGAGGCAGAACUAGUCUUCUCCAGUGACCCUGAGACCUGCAGACAGGCCAGGGAAACAGAGGCCACCCCAGAAUCCUCUCCCAUGAUCAAGUUUUUCUGCAUUAGUGCUAAAGCAAGGCAUAACAACAUCCUGCAGAGCUUACCUGUGCCCAGCCCCUCCAUGCCUGGGAUGUCAUCUCCAAACCUAGAAAGGAAAAAGCAGGUAAGGAGUGAGUUUGGGGCAGCAGCAAGGAAAGGGGAGAUGUCCUAAACCCCCACCCAAGGAAGAAGGAUUGUGGGGAGGGAGCAGAAGAGAAGCAGCUCCAGGUUGAAGAGCUAAUGGCACCUGGAGGCAGCAGGAAGCUGCCUGGCUCCUUGCCCAAGGGAAGAUGCACAGAAGAACAACUGUAGCUGUGGGGAGCUACUUAACUAGCAUAGUUUCUUUUCUUUCCAAAAUUCCCUUACCCUCUUACUCCUUU